rnacentral:tRNA from 1 species
AAGGGUAUAGCUCAGUAGUAGAGUAUGUGCUUAGCAUGUACGAGGUCCUGGGUUCUAGACCCAGUACCUCCA